ensembl:misc_RNA 7SK 7SK RNA
GGAUGUGAGGGCGAUCUGGCUGCGACAUCUGUCACCCCAUUGAUCGCCAGGGUUGAUUCGGCUGAUCUGGCUGGCUAGGCGGGUGUCCCCUUCCUCCCUCAACGAUCCAUGUGCGUCCCUCCCGAAGCUGCGCGCUCGGUCGAAGAGGACGACCACCCCCGAUAGAGGAGGACCGUUCCUCGGUCAAGGGUAUACGAGUAGCUGCGCUCCCCUGCUAGAACCUCCAAACAAGCUCUCAAGGUCCAUUUGUAGGAGAACGUAGGGUAGUCAAGCUUCCAAGACUCCAGACACAUCCAAAUGAGGCGCUGCACGUGGCAGUUUGCCUUUCUUU